rnacentral:rRNA from 1 species
GACGAACGCUGGCGGCGUGCUUAACACAUGCAAGUCGAGCGGAAAGGCCCUUCGGGGUACUCGAGCGGCGAACGGGUGAGUAACACGUGAGUAACCUGCCCCCGACUUUGGGAUAACCCUCGGAAACGGGGGCUAAUACCGGAUACGACACAGCUUCGCAUGGGGUCUGUGUGGAAAGUUUUUCGGUUUGGGAUGGGCUCGCGGCCUAUCAGCUUGUUGGUGGGGUGAUGGCCUACCAAGGCGACGACGGGUAGCCGGCCUGAGAGGGCGACCGGCCACACGGGGACUGAGACACGGCCCAGAAUCCUACGGGAGGCAGCAGGGGGGAAUAUUGCACAAUGGGCGGAAGCCUGAUGCAGCGACGCCGCGUGAGGGAUGACGGCCUUCGGGUUGUAAACCUCUUUCAGCAGGGACGAAGCGUAAGUGACGGUACCUGCAGAAGAAGCGCCGGCCAACUACGUG